rnacentral:rRNA from 1 species
AGAGGAGAGUGGAAUUCCACGUGUAGCGGUGAAAUGCAUAGAGAUGUGGAGGAACACCAGUGGCGAAGGCGACUCUCUGGUCUGUAACUGACGCUGAGGCGCGAAAGCGUGGGGAGCGAACAGGAUUAGAUACCCUGGUAGUCCACGCCGUAAACGAUGAGUGCUAAGUGUUAGAGGGUUUCCGCCCUUUAGUGCUGCAGCAAACGCAUUAAGCACUCCGCCUGGGGAGUACGGUCGCAAGACUGAAACUCAAAGGAAUUGACGGGGGCCCGCACAAGCGGUGGAGCAUGUGGUUUAAUUCGAAGCAACGCGAAGAACCUUACCAGGUCUUGACAUCCUCUGACAACCCUAGAGAUAGGGCUUCCCCUUCGGGGGCAGAGUGACAGGUGGUGCAUGGUUGUCGUCAGCUCGUGUCGUGAGAUGUUGGGUUAAGUCCCGCAACGAGCGCAACCCUUGAUCUUAGUUGCCAGCAUUCAGUUGGGCACUCUAAGGUGACUGCCGGUGACAAACCGGAGGAAGGUGGGGAUGACGUCAAAUCAUCAUGCCCCUUAUGACCUGGGCUACACACGUGCUACAAUGGGCAGAACAAAGGGCAGCGAAGCCGCGAGGCUAAGCCAAUCCCACAAAUCUGUUCUCAGUUCGGAUCGCAGUCUGCAACUCGACUGCGUGAAGCUGGAAUCGCUAGUAAUCGCGGAUCAC